ensembl:antisense 4930515L19Rik RIKEN cDNA 4930515L19 gene
AGAAGCCAGAGGUAAGAUGGUUUGGGGGAUGUCUCUGAGCCAACACUAUUCAUUUGGAGAAAGAUGAAAAACUACAUACAAGUCACCUCACAUCACAGCUUCUUCUCCCAACCUUCCUAUUCCUCCAGAACCAUCCUCCUCCAUUUCUUCUUCAGAAAACAUCAGGUCUUUCAGAGAUGACAGCCAGACUGGUCAAAACAAUAUACAGUAAGACAAGAAAUCUUGUUGAUGGCUGUGAUCCAUAGAGUACCAUGACACCUUGUUGAUGCUGAUACAAGAGGCCAUGUUGAAAACCUUGGUCCAUCUUGCUGCUUAAGACAAUGUCAAAGUAAGUGUUAUGUGCUGCUACAGUAGUCCAGUUGGAAGACUAUGAACUGAACUGCAAACUAAAGCUAUGUUGAAGUAACUGAUGACUAUUCACAAUCACAAACUAACCAUGUUGAUGUCCAAAUGGAGACCUUGUAAUAGCCAUGAUCCCUGUUGACAGCGGAGACACUGUUGAAUUCCAUGGUCAAUACUGCCUCCUGAAGCCAUAUUCAAGGAAGUGUUCUAUUUUGUACCCAAGAACCAGUAUUAUGUAUAAAAUUCAAACUGCUCAAUGGCAAUAUGUUGUUGUCAUAGCAACCUGUUUAUACUGUGGAUGAAUAAGCAAUGGAAUUUUUACUGAUGUCAGUGAUCCAUAAUUUAGCCCAAUUUAUGAGAAGUAUUCCAUUUUGAUGUCACACUGAAUCCUGACACUAGAGGUUUCUGUAUAAAGUCUUACCUGUUC